CAAUAUUAUCAAAGUCUUCCUGUCUAUCCCUGCUGGGUUUAAAGACACAGAAGAGGGGUGUGGAUCUCCCUUAAGGAUCCAAAGGUGCUUUACACCAGAGCCAGGUUACCCACUGGCUCUUUCCUUGUGAGUUGAUUAUCUUCUCAUCCUACUUUAUUGUAUGAUUACUGUUCAGGCUAUCUGCACUAUUAUUGUGUUAAAUAUCAUUCACAGAUUUUUGUAAAGUGAGACAUCAAGUACAUAUAUCCUCAAGAUUAUUAUUCAGUUAUACUAAAGCUCCACUUAUAUUGUAUUUGCAUAUUAUUUUAGUUACCUAAUCAAAAAAAUCAAUCAGAUUAGUUUGGCAUGAUCUCCCAUGAACACAUGUUGUCUCUGAUCUUGAAAUCCAUGUGCUUUUAGAUGUUCAACAAUCCUAUCCUUUAACAUGGUUUCCAUCACUUUCCCCACUACUGAAGUCAGGCUUACGGGCCUAUAGUUGCCAGACUCUUCCCUAUUACCUUUCUUGUGAAUAGGCACAACAUUCGUUAACUUCCAAUCUUCUGG